AUGAAUGUGCUGCCGUGAGGUGAAGCAGCCCACAGCCCUCCUGCAGCAAUCCUUCAGGUGACAUGGCGGUCACGUGCCUGAUGGUCAGCAAUGUGAUUCCAGGCCACUGCUUCUGGAGACUUCCACUGCCCCAGCUACAGGACAGAGGAUGCUAGGUGGCAUCAAGCAAGACAAAAUAAGAGCCCUACUUCACACCACAUUUUUGGGGAUCAAAGACUUUUGUCAAAAGAAGUUAUUGGCAUCAAAAUUAGUUAUUUAGCUGUUAUUUCAGCUCAGCACACAGGAAACCCUGGUGCCUGUUGCUGUUCCAUGCUGUGUAUUCCGAGACUGAAAUCUCAAUAGUGACAAGGCAACAAGUAAGAAAAGAAUUGAGUUUCUGCUGAGUGAGCCACAGAUAAGCUACAUUUUAAUGCUCUGCAUCAAAAUUUAAAGGAUUUUGCUAAAUAAGUCAUAUGCUAUAAGACAAUACUGUAUUGAGAAGAAAAUCCAUUUAGAAAGCACAUAAUGACGUAGUUUUCCAGUGGUAUAUAUUGCUGAGGAAGAGAAAAUUGUCAAGAUAUAAAGCAUUCAUGAGAAACGCAAAAUGAUAAGGUUCUUGUUCGAAACUGUAAGAUCAGUGUUUCUCUGCUGAACUCCAUUUCUGGGAGUUGAUCCUUGUUCCUGAAAAAAUUGUUUUGGCCUUGAAUGUAGCAGUAAAGAUGUUAGUCCUGGAGAAGGAUUUUCUUGUUCUUAUGGUUUUGGCUCCUAAUAGAGGAAUGUAAGAAUUUAUUACCCAAAGAUCCAUUCUGAUGCUUUUGGCUAAAUAGUAAGUACUCAGUUUUUAAUUAUGUUGGUAUAUUAUCCAACCCUCUAUGGGCAGGAAAUUGCGUUUAGGAAGAAAAAAGUAUGGAAGCAUCACCACCAUGACUGCGACAGCCAGCAUCAGUCCCUUCUGUGGUUCCAGCAUUAAAACCAGAUGUUGGUUGAGUCUCAGAUGCACUUGGGCUCCUACAUGGCUUGGUCACAGUGUAUGGGGUAAGGCACCAAAUGCAUUUCGUGGCAGUCAGCAGUUUGGAGGCUCUUGCUGGCACUCAGUGGCUGACCUCAGGGAAACCCAGGUGAAAGGAGAUAGAUACCACUCCACAGGCUGAUGGUGGAGCCUACAGGGCCUCUGUCACCUUUGGAAAUGAGGCAAAGAUAGUCCCGUCAUUUAGGGACAGAUGAUAUUUUUCUUAAUGUGUUUAAGUGUCUUAAUGUAGGAAAUUAAGUUCCAUGACCCUCCUGAUAAGCUCACCAGAUGCCCAUCUGUAACAUUGUUUGUGAACUACCUUGUAAAAUCAGGCUCCUUGGCAGAGCCAAGGAAGCCCAAGUUUCUGAUCUGGGACAUGCACACUGUGACAGGAGCCAGAUGUGUCAGAAACAUAUGCUCCUCUUUGGAACUGUACCUCCAUCAGCAGCAGAGGACGUUUGGCCUUACUAAGAAGUGCCUGGCCUAGCCCCCAAAUUACCUUUUAUUGUUUGAUUCCCAGCAGAAAUGUGUUGCUAACACGAGACAUCUUUGGAGCAUGCAUGUCAGCAUCAUCCUGAUGGCAGGGAGCUGGCAGGGCAAAGGGCAAAGUGUGCGAUGGAACUGCUGCCCCUGGAGCUGUGAUGAGAAAGCUGAUGUAGAGACAAUCUCCUGGCCUGUCCCAGUGGCAGGGCUGUAGAAAUGCGUGCACAUUCUUUGUCUUGUUCGCAUAGAAGUCUAUUGUGUAGAUAUUAAUAUCUGCAGCUACCUCUAAUUUCUGUUGUAAUGAUGCACUUUUAUUGCAUUAGAGUGACCUGAAACUGUGUCCUAAUCUCAUAGAUCCCAUUUACACAGCUUGCACUGUAGGUUUAAUUUCACAGUUUUUAGUUUCCCAGCUUAAAAAUGUGAACAAUUCAUGGAGCAAAAUUAACAGUUUAUUAGAAAUAUCAGUCUCUGCAAAAGUCCUAAGGGUAAUUCACAGCUCUAUAAAAGGUUGUGGU
rnacentral:lncRNA from 1 species